GGUUGUGGCUCAGUGGUAGAGUGCUUGCCUAGCAUGCAUGAGGCUCUAGGUUUGAUCCUCAGCACCA
rnacentral:tRNA from 1 species